AAGAGCUGUUCAUGGCAAUGUUGUCUGUGUGCCCUCUGAAGUACAAGAAACAGUGAAUGCAUUACCCAGACUGAAAAAUCAAUCUCAAGUCAAGAAAGUGAAGCUUAAGAAACGAUUAUGCUGAGUGAUUGCAUGUACAGUGGUCAUUUCUGUUUGUCUCCAUUUUGGGCGAGUGCUGAGUAUUUGUAUAUGUGUGCAUAAGGGUGGGAAUGCAUGUUUGUGCCUGUGUGUACCUGUUUGUCUAUGUUUAUGUGUCAGGUCGGGUCUAGACUCCACCUCUCUGGGAACAUCUCAGGCCCCCCUAGCCCGUUCUCACUCCCGAGGCGUAAUAUAGUGACGAUUUGUCAAGUCCCAAGGCAUUCCUGAGGAACGCGAAAGGUGACCUUCCCCCGGGGCUGGGUCCGCUCUGGCAUAGCCGGCUGGCAGAGGAGCCUAUGGGCACGUCGCCGCAGCCCCCUGUGGCUUCUCAGUGUGGCUGCUGCGUAUACCAUGCGUUGUCGGUCUUGUGUGCUGCUCAUUAACAUUCAAUAUUUAUUAUUUACCAUUACUUAUGCUUAUCUAGGUUGUUGCUGUGGUUUCCCUACUGUGUUUUUCUGUUUUUUCUUGUUUCCUUUUUUUCCAGCAGGUGAUCUAGUGGAUUUUUAGUGUCUUUUCCCACUUCCUUCUUGCCCUCUGUUUUUCUUUCCCUCCCCUUUUUUGACCUUCUCCUGUCUACGUCUUUCCCUUUACUAUGUUCCUAUCGCCUGGUCGUAUCUGUUCUGAUUGUAAUGACUUUAAGGUUAAAAUAAAUAAAUAAAUAAUAAAGAUCAAUCAAGUGAACCAGUAUGGCAAAGCCGUAAUGAUCUACUUGAGAAAGUAAAUCUGUUGGCCAUUUUUCUUGGCCUUCAGACAAUAAUUCUGAUUGCUAGACUGCCAAAUGGGACAAAAGCACAGCUUAAACUUUUCUUCCAAAGAAGAACGUUUAGAAACCUUUUCCUCUCCAGCAGCUGAGAACCUGCACAUAGAACAGUGACAGAGAGAGAACAGGAAGCAGAAACCCAAGACGGUGCGACCACUUCAACCUUUAGACCUGCACUCCAUCUCCAGGCAGGCACGAAUGGUGGACCCAAGAGCAGGACUUGCAGAGGCAAAAGUGAACUUAAACAUCUCAGCUUUAUUGCUGGACAGCGAGCAAAACAGAAAACUGGCAAAACUGACUACAAGACUGUCCAACAAAUCUGACAUCAACCAUGGACCAAGUGAAAGGACAGAUCAGAUUCAGCAUGGCAGCCUGUCCCUUUUAAACUGGACUCUGUCUGUAAGUUUCAAAGUGUAGUGUUUUUUGUUUUGUUUUUUUUGUCAUAUGUGGAGGGGGCCUAAGGGUACA